rnacentral:rRNA from 1 species
AGCGGCGGACGGGUGAGUAACGCGUGGGCAACCUGCCUUUCACAGAGGGAUAGCCAAAGGAAACUUUGAUUAAAACCUCAUAAAGCCGGAAUAGUGCAUAAUAUACUGGCCAAAGAUUUAUCGGUGAAAGAUGGGCCCGCGUCUGAUUAGCUAGUUGGUGGGGUAACGGCUCACCAAGGCAACGAUCAGUAGCCGACCUGAGAGGGUGAUCGGCCACAUUGGAACUGAGACACGGUCCAAACUCCUACGGGAGGCAGCAGUGGGGAAUAUUGCACAAUGGGCGCAAGCCUGAUGCAGCAACGCCGCGUGAACGAAGAAGGCCUUCGGGUCGUAAAGUUCUGUCCAUAGGGAAGAAACAAAUGACGGUACCUAUGGAGGAAGCCCCGGCUAAAUACGUGCCAGCAGCCGCGGUAAUACGUAUGGGGCAAGCGUUAUCCGGAAUUAUUGGGCGUAAAGAGUGCGUAGGUGGUGGCUUAAGCGCAGGGUUUAAGGCAAUGGCUUAACUAUUGUUCGCCUUGCGAACUGGGUCACUUGAGUACAGGAGAGGAAAGCGGAAUUCCUAGUGUAGCGGUGAAAUGCAUAGAUAUUAGGAGGAACACCGGUGGCGAAGGCGGCUUUCUGGACUGCAACUGACACUGAGGCACGAAAGCGUGGGUAGCAAACAGGAUUAGAUACCCUGGUAGUCCACGCCGUAAACGAUGAGCACUAGGUGUCGGCCACUAAAGGUCGGUGCCGCAGUUAACGCAUUAAGUGCUCCGCCUGGGGAGUACGCACGCAAGUGUAAAACUCAAAGGAAUUGACGGGGACCCGCACAAGCAGCGGAGCAUGUGGUUUAAUUCGAAGCAACGCGAAGAACCUUACCAGAGCUUGACAUCCCUCUGACAGAUCCUUAAUCGGAUUCUUCUUCGGACAGAGGAGACAGGUGGUGCAUGGUUGUCGUCAGCUCGUGUCGUGAGAUGUUGGGUUAAGUCCCGCAACGAGCGCAACCCUUAUCAUUAGUUGCCAUCAUUAGGUUGGGCACUCUAGUGAGACUGCCGGGGACAACUCGGAGGAAGGUGGGGACGACGUCAAAUCAUCGUGCCCCUUAUGUUCUGGGCUACACACGUGCUACAAUGGUCGGUACAGAAAGCAGCGAAACCGUGAGGUGAAGCCAAUCUCCAAAACCGAUCUCAGUUCGGAUUGUAGGCUGCAACUCGCCUACAUGAAGUCGGAGUUGCUAGUAAUCGCAGAUCAGAAUGCUGCGGUGAAUGCGUUCCCGGGUCUUGUACACACCGCCCGUCACAACAUGGAAGUGGGGGGUGCCCGAAGU